UCCUUCUCAAAGCUGUCAACGCUUGUUUUUCGUAACGGAAUUUUUCGAGCGCGCCACACCACCACCAGCGAUGCAGCUUUGUUUGGAAAAUCUAGCGAUCUGAAACAGUUCCGUUUUUGUGUGUGAAAAUCCACCAAACGAAGUGAAAAUGUCGCAAAGCGAUCGUGUGACGGACUUGAUCAUGCACUACUACAUGGAGCACGGCCGCAACCGGGACCUGGAGAAAUAUCUUCGCCUGCGCCGUAUGUCCAGCGCGACGCGCUCCUCCAGCGACGGCAGCCUUCCCUGCCUGGACGAACUGCAGCGGCGCGCCUGCCAUGCCACGGCCGAACGAUCCGGGCUCGGCAAGUCGAUGGAAAAUUUGGCCACGCUGCGCAAAAAGGCGGAACAACAGCAACUGGACGAGAGCGAAAAGUCGCUACGAAAUGCGUCCGCCGGGAGUGGGAAAUCGAACGCAAACAAAACACCCGACAAGGCAGUAGGCGCUGUGGCGACGGAUACGGCCGAUGCAAAGCAGGGCGGCGUGACGGUGCGCGAGAAAAAGAUGGAGCAAAAGAGUGGCAGGAACUUCAACUUUAAUCUCGAGUCGGUGAUCGAAAUCAAUCUUCCCCCACCGCCGACCAUAACGCUGGGCGUUCCAACCACCGCGACCACCAUUGCUCCGAUUACGUACGCCCAGCCGGGUCCGCCAGCAGCCUCGACGGCUAAGGAACAUUCGCCGCGGCUCGUCGUGCACGAAACCAGCACACAGACGGUGGCCACGGAAGAUGAUCCAAUCCGGCCGGUGGUGAAAACGCACGCCCCGGGCACGGUAGAGGAACCGCUGGACAGCACGAAGGACCUUUCGCCCGUCAGCAGUAUCGCCUCGAACAAGCAACGGCUGGAGUGGGAUUCGCUCGGGGACAUAGGGUACGAUUCGAGCGAGCGGCUCCAGUUCUGCGGUGCGGCCGAUCUGAACGAAACCGAGAAACGGUGCCUGCAGCGUUACUUCGCCCGCAAGGGAUUGACCUUCGAUCGGAGCGUGAUUGUUGUGCGGCAGCGGGAAGAACGGGAGAAAAAGGCUGCCGCACGCGGCGAGGACACAUCGAUUAUGCGAGCGAAGCCGGAUGCACAAAGCACACCGAAGAUGGCACCAUUGCAGUCAGCGCCACCACCCCCGGCAGCGGUGAGACGGAAUGAGGGCGAGGAAGCUAAAGCUACGCAAACGACGCUCCAGUCACGCGGGCGGGAAUCGCGUGGCAUUCAAGUAACGCGACGACACGACGAAUCGUCACUGCCCUACCAGCGGCAGGACAAAGCCAUCGGUACGGCCGAUAGCUACACGCUGGCGGGCUCGGUCGAUGCGGCGGAAAGUUUCGAAUUCUUCUCGCCUUCGGUGCCGGCAACGGGAAAUAACACUCCCUCGGUUGCUGCUUCCGCUUCCACGCCGGUACAGUCCUCGUCGGACACGACAUCCUCGUCGGGGGUAAAUGAGGCCAGCGCCAGUGGUUGCUCGCUGCGUCCCACCUUUGACGACGAGGUGAAGCUCGGGCUGACGCUGUACAACUCGAUCUGCGAGCUGGCGAGCAUGCCAACAGGUGUGAAGGAAAGUUUGAUCGAUAAAAUAUUCCGCAAGCUUUCGCGGCACGAUCCGAAGCGAAGAACGCGGGAACAGUUGCUGCACGACUAUGGGAAGGAUGUUAGAAAGCGCAGAGAGAAGCAGGAGCAGACCAUCGAGGAGACGGCAGUGGAGGAUGCAGGUGGCUGCUCGAAAGCGGUACAACAGGAGGACGACAAUGUGUACGACGAUGUGAGUCCUUGUAGCGAGAAGGACGAAUCGCCGCCACAGCUGGAUCGAAGCAUCGGUCUGGUGGAGGUCAUCGAGGAGACGAAGCAUCCGGCAGCACCUGUCGGAAGCUCCAACGUAUCGGAAGGCUCGGUGAAAGCGUCCCCUUCCGGAUCGAAUGAGGGCAAUAACGUGCGUCACAGCACCACUUCCACCGGUGGAUUGGUUUCGAUUGAGAACUCUUCCCAUCGCACCGUAUCCUCGCUGCCGGUGUCGGUGGGCACAACGAAGGAGAACCCUCCGCGAAAGCUGUCCGCCCCGGAACCGCGCGAUCGGCGGGUGCGCAAAGCCAUGCAGGAGUAUCUGCGGCCCAUGACGCACUCUGAGGUGGAGUAUGAGAAUUUUAAACAACUGCAACGGCUCAACCAGGAGCGUGCGCACGAUCCACAGCUGGCAAAGAUUGAUCGUGAGAUAGAACAGCUGCUGGUGAAGAAAAUGCUACUGCUCAAUCCGGGCUCAACGGUCACGGCGGAACCGACGCACCCGGCGAACGCGCCCACGGCUGCUCCACCGACCCUACCCAGCGAGCGCAGUGGAACGGUGUACACGUCGGUACAUGAUCCGGUUUCGGCUGACAGCAGCUGCUCGAAAAAUAGCACCGCCAGUACGGCCUGGAACUCACACUAUCACAUGGCGAAGGUGAUAAAAAAUCGCUCCAAGCUGGAGACGCCCAUCGAGCUUACGACCACACCGUCGGAUGUGAGCAUUCCCACCUUUAUAAAGCAGAAGCAGGACAAGUUUGUGGAAAACUAUGAUCAGGUUCGUACGCGCCGUGUGUUCGAGGAGCAGAACCACCUGUACACCCGCCCGUACAGCAGCAGCCGCAGGAGUGAUCGCAGACACCAUCCGCUCCAGCAGGAGAAGGAAAACCAUCACGCCUUCGGUAAGGAUCGGUACGCGCUCAACAAAAUGUCGAAGGGAACGGGCGGCGACAGUCGGCGACCGAUUUCGUCCUCGAACAAUACGAUCCUGUCGCCGGAGUUUAUAUCUUCCGAUUCGAUAUCGAUACCGGUCGUUACGACGCUCACGAACACCACCACAACGCACCACUAUGACAUCAAGUCGAGAAGACCAUCGUUGCCCCUGGCAACGAAAGGAGGGCGCACGGCUGGCACACAAACAACCGAUUCCAUUUUGCGUACCAAGCCCAUUUUUGGGGAAAAGAAGCAGAAGAGCGCUGGUGUGACGGCAUCCGUACAGGUUCCAUCGACCGUUGGCAGGACAGGCGUUGCGGAAGGCGGCCUUCCCAUUGUCCAAUGUAACUGUCCCUGCGGGCAGCGUGAACCCACCGUAGAAGCGCACGGCAAUCCACGGCGAACGGAAAUUAUCGACCGCACGGCAACCGGUCGGCAAGACAAGCAGGCCCAAACGAAACCCUCCUCCAUCGCGUACGUUAUUACGUUUGAAGGGACGACGGCUGCGGAACGGAACCGUCACGAUAACUACGGAUCAGCACCACCGGUGCGCCAUCCAUCGUCACUAUCGACCGAUAAUGAGGGUAGCAGCGGUAGUGCCGGGGAAAGUGAACCCGAAAAUGGGAAGGACAAUGUGUCGGAAAAGAUGCUCACGCUGCGGGAACAGUUCCGCCGGUCCUGUCCGGCAACGUUGAGCCGUAUCGAGGAGCGCCGGCAGUGUAUAAGCGAGCUGAACAAACUACGAAGCAAGCGGAACCAGCAGCGGCAACGGUUGCUGCUGCUCACGUCGGACGACUCGCUUCGCAAGACGAGCGCGGUGGGAGGAAGGGGUCAGCUACCGCCACCACCGCUCAGCCAGAGGCGCGUGUUUGCGUCGACGCGUGCCAUCCGGGAAAACACCCGCCGGCAGGUUCGCAAUCUGCCGGAGGUGCAGCGAAAGCGGGAGAUUGAACGUUUCAACAAUUUGAAGCGCAAAAAUCGAAUACUCAAGGAUGUGUACAACAAGAAUCUGCAACGAAAAGUGCUGAAAGGGCAAGUUGACCUAUCGAACAGUGUUCGAGUCAUUCAGGAUUAGUCACUGUGAGUUCUGUUGAGCCUAUCCAUUUUAAUGGUUGAUCAGUUUAGUGACAAUAACAAAACAUGUGUGUUCAUGAGAACUCUAUUUUAAAAGGCUGUAUCAGAUCACUGUUCAAAAAUCCUCUCAAUUUUGGGAUAGAAAAUCACAAUUUAUGAAAAUACGGCAAUAAACGCUCUCCAAAAAAUCACUAAA